rnacentral:lncRNA from 1 species
ACUGAAGAAACCCGCCGGCUGCUGGGGCAGGGCGGCGAAAGGUCAGUCGGCCGAGAGGAGUCCGUGGAGCCACCGUUUCAUAGCCUCAGGGAAAGGAUCGGGCGUGCUCACGAGCCCUCUAACCCAUGGCUUAAACACCCGCUUCCUAAGCCUGGUUCCUGAAUAUAUCACAUGUGGUGAUAAACAUGAAGAUGUAUGAAAAAUUGUGUUCGUUGAGAGAAAAUGGAAGGCUUUUCAUUCUACUUCCACAUUUUCAUUCCAGCAGCUUUUCUGUUUUGGAAGAUGAGUACUGAAUCUUGCAAUGAAAUUUUUUUAACUUAAACAAGACAAGGAAAAUGAAGCGCAGAGACGUUAAAUAACUCUCUCAAGGUCAUGCAGCUGAGAAGAGAUGAGACUUGAACUCCAGUGCCAGCCCUGUUAAUCACUAUUCUGUACUGUCUUUCAGAUGGAAUGAUAGGGUAUGCAUAAAUGUUCAUGUGGGCUCUGGAGUAUACCAGGAACUGAAGUAAGGUACAUGGACGUCUUGAAUAUUGUAACUGAGAUGGGCAAGCCUACACCUUUGCAAAUAAAGGAGGAUUGGGAAAGAUUAAGAUCCUGUUAAACGUCAGUGUUACUAUUUAGCCUUUGAUAUCUCCAGUAAAGGCAACUUCUUUCUGGACCCAGAAAUAAAGCUUUACAUUAGCAGCUUCCAUAACACCAAUAACAUGAAUGACCAUCUACUGAGCAAUUGCAGUGCACCAGGAUUAUGGCUUAUGAGCACUUUAU